rnacentral:rRNA from 1 species
GGUGGCCGCAGAGAAUAGGCCCAAGCGACUGUUUACCAAAAACAUAGGUUUCUGCUAAGUCGCAAGACGAUGUAUAGGAGCUGACGCCUGCCCGGUGCUGGAAGGUUAAGGGGAUCUGUUAGGGCAAUCGAAGCAGUGAACUUAAGCCCCAGUAAACGGCGGCCGUAACUAUAACGGUCCUAAGGUAGCGAAAUUCCUUGUCGGGUAAGUUCCGACCCGCACGAAAGGCGUAACGAUUUGGGCACUGUCU